GAACGCGAAAGGCCCCUUCGGGGGCCGAGUAGAGUGGCGCACGGGUGAGUAACACGUGGAUAAUUUGCCUUCGGGUGGGGAAUAACAACCGGAAACGGUUGCUAAUACCGCAUAAUGCAGCGGCAUCUAUGAUGACAGUUGUUAAAGCGGGGGAUUCUUCGGAACCUCGCGCCUGAAGAGAAGUCCGCGGCAGAUUAGCUAGUUGGUAGGGUAAUGGCCUACCAAGGCGACGAUCUGUAGCCGGCCUGAGAGGGCGGUCGGCCACACUGACACUGACAUACGGGUCAGACUCCUACGGAAGGCAGCAGUCGGGAAUUUUGGGCAAUGGGCGAAAGCCUGACCCAGCAACGCCGCGUGAAGGAUGAAGUUUUUCGGAACGUAAACUUCACAAGAAUGGGAAGAAUAAGUUAGGGCUAAUACCCCUGACGAUGACGGUACCAUUUGUAAGCUCCGGCUAACUCCGUGCCAGCAGCCGCGGUAAUACGGGGGGAGCAAGCGUUGUUCGGAUUUACUGGGCGUAAAGGGCGCGUAGGCGGCGCCGCAAGUCACUUGUGAAAUCUCCGGGCUCAACUCGGAACGGCCAAGUGAUACUGCGGUGCUAGAGUGCGGAAGGGGCAACUGGAAUUCUUGGUGUAGCGGUGAAAUGCGUAGAUAUCAAGAGGAACACCUGCGGCGAAGGCGGGUUGCUGGGCCGACACUGACGCUGAGGCGCGAAAGCUAGGGGAGCGAACGGGAUUAGAUACCCCGGUAGUCCUAGCCUUAAACG
rnacentral:rRNA from 1 species